GAUGAACGCUGGCGGCGUGCCUAAUACAUGCAAGUCGAGCGAACAGACGAGGAGCUUGCUCCUCUGACGUUAGCGGCGGACGGGUGAGUAACACGUGGAGAACCUACCUAUAAGACUGGGAUAACUUCGGGAAACCGGAGCUAAUACCGGAUAAUAUAUUUAACCGCAUGGUUCAAUAGUGAAAGACGGGUUUGCUGUCACUUAUAGAUGGAUCCGCGCCGCAUUAGCUAGUUGGUAAGGUAACGGCUUACCAAGGCAACGAUGCGUAGCCGACCUGAGAGGGUGAUCGGCCACACUGGAACUGAGACACGGUCCAGACUCCUACGGGAGGCAGCAGUAGGGAAUCUUCCGCAAUGGGCGAAAGCCUGACGGAGCAACGCCGCGUGAGUGAUGAAGGUCUUCGGAUCGUAAAACUCUGUUAUUAGGGAAGAACAAAUGUGUAAGUAACUAUGCACGUCUUGACGGUACCUAAUCAGAAAGCCACGGCUAACUACGUG
rnacentral:rRNA from 1 species